AUUGAACGCUGGCGGCAUGCCUUACACAUGCAAGUCGAACGGUAACAGGUCUUCGGAUGCUGACGAGUGGCGAACGGGUGAGUAAUACAUCGGAACGUGCCCGAUCGUGGGGGAUAACGAGGCGAAAGCUUUGCUAAUACCGCAUACGAUCUACGGAUGAAAGCGGGGGAUCUUCGGACCUCGCGCGGACGGAGCGGCCGAUGGCGGAUUAGGUAGUUGGUGGGAUAAAAGCUUACCAAGCCGACGAUCUGUAGCUGGUCUGAGAGGAUGAUCAGCCACACUAGGACUGAGACACGGCCCAGACUCCUACGGGAGGCAGCAGUGGGGAAUUUUGGACAAUGGGCGAAAGCCUGAUCCAGCCAUGCCGCGUGCAGGAUGAAGGCCUUCGGGUUGUAAACUGCUUUUGUACGGAACGAAAAGCCUCUUUCUAAUAAAGAGGGGUCAUGACGGUACCGUAAGAAUAAGCACCGGCUAACUACGUG
rnacentral:rRNA from 1 species